AGCAGCCGCGGUAAUUCCAGCUCCAAUAGCGUAUAUUAAAGUUGUUGCAGCUAAAAAGCUCGUAGUUGAAUUUCGGGAUUGGCGUGUCGGUCGUGCCUUACGGGGUAUGAACUGGCGUCGUCGAUUUCUCACCUUCUGGAGAAUCACGAUGCCCUUAAUUGGGUGUCGUGUGGAACCAGGACCUUUACCUUGAAAAAUUAGAGUGUUUAAAGCAGGCAUUUUUGCUCGAAUACAUUAGCAUGGAAUAAUAAAAUAGGACGGUUUGGUUCUAUUUUGUUGGUUUCUAGGAUCACCGUAAUGAUUAAUAGGGAUAGUUGGGGGCAUUAGUAUUCAAUUGUCAGAGGUGAAAUUCUUGGAUUUAUUGAAGACUAACUACUGCGAAAGCAUUUGCCAAGGAUGUUUUCAUUAAAUCAAGAACGAAAGUUAGGGGAUCGAAGACGAUCAGAUACCGUCGUAGUCUUAACCAUAAACUAUGCCGACUAGGAAUCAGACGAUGUAAUUUUUAAUGAUUCGUUUGGCA
rnacentral:rRNA from 1 species